GGGCCCGCACAAGCGGUGGAGCAUGUGGUUUAAUUCGAUGAUACGCGAGGAACCUUACCAGGGCUUAAAUGUAGUCUGACAGAUUUGGAAACAGAUUUUUCUUCGGACAGAUUACAAGGUGCUGCAUGGUUGUCGUCAGCUCGUGCCGUGAGGUGUCAGGUUAAGUCCUAUAACGAGCGCAACCCCUGUUGUUAGUUGCCAGCGAGUAAUGUCGGGAACUCUAGCAAGACUGCCGGUGCAAACCGUGAGGAAGGUGGGGAUGACGUCAAAUCAUCACGGCCCUUACGUCCUGGGCCACACACGUGCUACAAUGGUAGGUACAGAGAGCAGCCACGUCGCAAGGCGGAGCGAAUCUAUAAAACCUAUCACAGUUCGGAUCGGGGUCUGCAACUCGACCCCGUGAAGCUGGAAUCGCUAGUAAUCG
rnacentral:rRNA from 1 species